rnacentral:rRNA from 1 species
GAUGAACGCUGGCUACAGGCUUAACACAUGCAAGUCGAGGGGAAACGACGGGGAAGCUUGCUUCCCCGGGCGUCGACCGGCGCACGGGUGAGUAACGCGUAUCCAACCUGCCUCUGACUGAGGGAUAACCCGUCGAAAGUCGGCCUAAUACCUCAUGGCAUCGUCUGCGGGCAUCCAACGACGAUUAAAGAUUUCAUCGGUCAGGGAUGGGGAUGCGUCUGAUUAGCUUGUUGGCGGGGUAACGGCCCACCAAGGCUACGGUCAGUAGGGGUUCUGAGAGGAAGGUCCCCCACAUUGGAACUGAGACACGGUCCAAACUCCUACGGGAGGCAGCAGUGAGGAAUAUUGGUCAAUGGGCGAGAGCCUGAACCAGCCAAGUAGCGUGCAGGAAGACGGCCCUAUGGGUUAUAAACUGCUUUUAUGCGGGGAUAAAGUGAGGGACGUGUCCUUCAUUGCAGGUACCGCAUGAAUAAGGACCGGCUAAUUCCGUGCCAGCAGCCGCGGUAAUACGGAAGGUCCGGGCGUUAUCCGGAUUUAUUGGGUUUAAAGGGAGCGUAGGCCGUGGAUUAAGCGUGUUGUGAAAUGCAGGUGCUCAACGUCUGCACUGCAGCGCGAACUGGUCCACUAGAGUGUGCGCAACGCAGGCGGAAUUCGUCGUGUAGCGGUGAAAUGCUUAGAUAUGACGAAGAACUCCGAUUGCGAAGGCAGCUUGCGGGAGCACAACUGACGCUGAAGCUCGAAAGUGCGGGUAUCGAACAGG